UACAGAGGGUGCGAGCGUUAAUCGGAAUUACUGGGCGUAAAGCGUGCGUAGACGGUUAUGUAAGUCGGGUGUGAAAGCCCCGGGCUCAACCUGGGAAUUGCAUUCGAGACUGCAUAGCUAGGAUGCGGAAGAGGGAAGCGGAAUUUCCGGUGUAGCGGUGAAAUGCGUAGAUAUCGGAAGGAACAUCAGGGGCGAAAGCGGCUUCCUGGUCCAGCAUCGACGUUCAGGCACGAAAGCGUGGGGAGCAAACAGG
rnacentral:rRNA from 1 species